rnacentral:tRNA from 1 species
GGACGGGUGCCCGAGCGGUUUAAGGGACCGGUUUUGAAAACCGGCGUGCUGAAAGGUACCGUGGGUUCGAAUCCUACCCCGUCCG